rnacentral:rRNA from 1 species
AUUGAACGCUGGCGGCAUGCUUUACACAUGCAAGUCGAACGGUAACAGGCCGCAAGGUGCUGACGAGUGGCGAACGGGUGAGUAAUGCAUCGGAACGUGCCCAGUCGUGGGGGAUAACUACUCGAAAGAGUAGCUAAUACCGCAUACGAUCUAUGGAUGAAAGCGGGGGACCGUAAGGCCUCGCGCGAUUGGAGCGGCCGAUGUCAGAUUAGGUAGUUGGUGGGGUAAAGGCUCACCAAGCCAACGAUCUGUAGCUGGUCUGAGAGGACGACCAGCCACACAGGGACUGAGACACGGCCCAGACUCCUACGGGAGGCAGCAGUGGGGAAUUUUGGACAAUGGGCGCAAGCCUGAUCCAGCAAUGCCGCGUGCAGGAAGAAGGCCUUCGGGUUGUAAACUGCUUUUGUACGGAACGAAAAGGCUCUGGUUAAUACCCGGGGCUAAUGACGGUACCGUAAGAAUAAGCACCGGCUAACUACGU